rnacentral:rRNA from 1 species
GAUAAACGCUAGCGGCAGGCUUAACACAUGCAAGUCGAGGGGCAGCAUAGAUUGUAGCAAUACAAUUGGUGGCGACCGGCGCACGGGUGCGUAACGCGUAUGCAACCUACCCGUCACAGGGGGAUAAUCCGGAGAAAUCUGGUCUAAUACCCCAUAACAUAUGGAUCGGCAUCGGUUCAUGUUGAAAUUUUCGGAGGUGACGGAUGGGCAUGCGUAGCAUUAGCUUGUUGGUGAGGUAACGGCUCACCAAGGCGACGAUGCUUAGGGGGACUGAGAGGUUUUCCCCCACACUGGUACUGAGACACGGACCAGACUCCUACGGGAGGCAGCAGUGAGGAAUAUUGGUCAAUGGGCGCAAGCCUAAACCAGCCAUGCCGCGUGCAGGAUGACGGCUCUAUGAGUUGUAAACUGCUUUUGUACGAGGGUAAAGUGGGUUACGUGUAACCUUUUGAAAGUAUCGUACGAAUAAGGAUCGGCUAACUCCGUGCCAGCAGCCGCCGUAA